rnacentral:rRNA from 1 species
AGUGAACGCUGGCGGUAGGCCUAACACAUGCAAGUCGAACGGCAGCACAGUAAGAGCUUGCUCUUACGGGUGGCGAGUGGCGGACGGGUGAGGAAUACAUCGGAAUCUACUUUUUCGUGGGGGAUAACGUAGGGAAACUUACGCUAAUACCGCAUACGACCUACGGGUGAAAGCAGGGGAUCUUCGGACCUUGCGCGAUUGAAUGAGCCGAUGUCGGAUUAGCUAGUUGGCGGGGUAAAGGCCCACCAAGGCGACGAUCCGUAGCUGGUCUGAGAGGAUGAGCAGAAAGACUGGAACUGAGACAGGGACCAGACUCAUACGGGGGGAAGGAGUGGGGAAUAUUGGACAAGGGGCGAAAGCCUGAGCCAGCCAUACCGCGUGGGUGAAGAAGGCCUUCGGGUUGUAAAGCCCUUUUGUUGGGAAAGAAAAGCAGCAGGUUAAUACCCCGCUGUUCUGACGGUACCCAAAGAAUAAGCACCGGCUAACUUCG